rnacentral:rRNA from 1 species
CCUACGGGAGGCAGCAGUGGGGAAUAUUGGGCAAUGGGCGAAAGCCUGACCCAGCGACGCCGCGUGCGGGAUGAAGGCCUUCGGGUUGUAAACCGCUUUCAGCAGGGAAGAAGCGAAAGUGACGGUACCUGAAGAAGAAGCACCGGCUAACUAUGUGCCAGCAGCCGCGGUAAUACAUAGGGUGCAAGCGUUGUCCGGAAUUAUUGGGCGUAAAGAGCUCGUAGGUGGUUCGUUACGUCGGAUGUGAAAACCUGAGGCUCAACCUCAGGCCUGCAUUCGAUACGGGCGAACUUGAGUGUGGUAGGGGAGGCUGGAAUUCCUGGUGUAGCGGUGGAAUGCGCAGAUAUCAGGAGGAACACCAAUGGCGAAGGCAGGCCUCUGGGCCACUACUGACACUGAGGAGCGAAAGCGUGGGGAGCAAACAGGAUUAGAUACCCUUGUAGUC